AACGAACGCUGGCGGCAUGCCUAACACAUGCAAGUCGAACGAGACCUUCGGGUCUAGUGGCGCACGGGUGCGUAACGCGUGGGAACCUGCCCUUAGGUUCGGAAUAACUCCCCGAAAGGGGUGCUAAUACCGGAUAAUGUCUUCGGACCAAAGAUUUAUCGCCUUUGGAUGGGCCCGCGUUGGAUUAGUUAGUUGGUAGGGUAAAAGCCUACCAAGGCGACGAUCCAGAGCUGGUCUGAGAGGAUGAUCCGCCACACUGGGACUGAUACACGGCCCAGACCCCCGGGGGGGAGAGGGGGGGGAAAUUGCACAAAAGGGGGAAGCGUGAGACCGCGCAGCCGCGGGGGAGUGAACAGGCCUUUGGGGUUAAAAACCUUUUUUCCACGGGAAAUUAAUGACGGUACCGGGAGAAUAAGCUCCGGCUAACUCCGUG
rnacentral:rRNA from 1 species